rnacentral:rRNA from 1 species
CAGGCNUAACACAUGCAAGUCGAACGGUAACAGGUCUUCGGAUGCUGACGAGUGGCGAACGGGUGAGUAAUGCAUCGGAACGUGCCCAGUCGUGGGGGAUAACGCAGCGAAAGCUGUGCUAAUACCGCAUACGAUCUAUGGAUGAAAGCGGGGGACCGUAAGGCCUCGCGCGAUUGGAGCGGCCGAUGUCAGAUUAGCUAGUUGGUGGGGUAAAGGCCCACCAAGGCGACGAUCUGUAGCUGGUCUGAGAGGACGACCAGCCACACUGGGACUGAGACACGGCCCAGACUCCUACGGGAGGCAGCAGUGGGGAAUUUUGGACAAUGGGCGCAAGCCUGAUCCAGCAAUGCCGCGUGCAGGAAGAAGGCCUUCGGGUUGUAAACUGCUUUUGUACGGAACGAAAAGGUCCGGGUUAAUACCCUGGGCUCAUGACGGUACCGUAAGA